UACGUAGGGGGCAAGCGUUGUCCGGAUUUAUUGGGCGUAAAGAGCGUGUAGGCGGCCAUACAGGUCAGCUGUGAAAACUCGAGGCUCAACCUCGAGACGUCGGUUGAAACCGUUUGGCUAGAGUCCGGAAGAGGAGAGUGGAAUUCCCGGUGUAGCGGUGAAAUGCGUAGAGAUCGGAAAGAACACCAACGGCGAAAGCACUCUGCUGGGCCGACACUGACACUGAGAGACGAAAGCUAGGGGAGCGAAUGGG
rnacentral:rRNA from 1 species